UUUUUUUUUUUUUUUUUUGUGGAAGGCUUAUAUGAGUUGUUGGCUUCCACAGUAAGUCUACAUUUAAAUUAAUUAAACUGUUGACAGUUAAAUUGUACUAAGUAGCUUCGAUAUAAAAGAUGAUUCCCAGAUUUUUUCCAUGCAACUUAAAUAAAUAAAUAAAGAAAGAAGAAAGAAUCUGAGGAACUUCGUUCUAAACAUCUGUCUGGGCAGAUGUCAAAAUGCAGAGUGUUGCUGCAUUAUACUUGCACUUGGACAUUAAAUUGCCGAGAGUCUGUGCCAAAGAGCCCAACAAUAGUGGGAAUAUCUCGCUGUUUGCUUAAUGAGCAAUGAAUGGAAGUGUGAAGGUGAAAAGACAGAUUCUGGGUGAGGGAGUGACAAGUCUACCUCUUGCCUGCUCUACAAAGGAAACCUACCCGGAGGGACUGGGGUAUGUCUCCAUCCACCAGGAAGCACCGAGCCCACGGGUCCUAGCUGAGCAGAGACGAACUUUUGUACGUGCACAAUAAACACAUGCUGAGAUCCCAGGGAGCAGUGAUAAGCCAUCAUUCUUGUGACAGCACAUGCGUAGAUGGUGACUGAAGAAUGGUUUCCCUUGCUCUGCUAAUGCUUAGCUUCCAGCAAGUGUAAAGCUUCAACUCCAACCAGGUAUUUCCUUUCUAGUUGCUUGUAAAUCAUUAGAGAUUGUCAGUGACGAGGCCUCUAUGACUGUGAGCCCUGUGAUGGGAUAACCAAGGAUGGAUGUGUCCAGGAGGGACAGCUAACCUCAAGGUGUCUGCAGUUUCCCUACUAAUAUUGGGCUGGAUUUGGGCCACCUGAGGUGAAGCUGUCCUCCCAGAAGGAAAUCCCAAGCACAACCAUGGAUCAGCAUUUGCAAAACGGUCAUCUGAGGAGCACGAGACAAAGAUCCUGCACACUCAAUGUGACCAGAUUGCAUUUUAAAUCAAAAUGCUCUCCAUGACUGCCUGCUUUGCAGCACUAGGGUAAGUCCCAUUUUUCCACAGCUUAAACAAAAAUAUGCCAAGGAAAUCUAUGCUAGAAAGGCAUUUGUUCUGUUUGUUUUAUGAAAAAAGCACAAUGUUGUUGGAAAAGCAGCUUUUUUUUUUCUUUUUUUUUUUCCUCCAAAUAUGUGAAAUUGUGCAUUUGCAAAACAGAGCUACAAUCAAGCAUGCCAAUUCUUUGUGAAGGUGACAAGUCUCCAAACUUGUAAUAAAUUAUCAGCAGCAGCAUUAAGAAAGAAAAUAUAAAACAAAACAUGCUUUGAGAAUUGACUGAAUAUUUUAUUUGUCCUUUUUUCUUUUAUUGAGACAUCUUUUGAAAAAUGGCACAAAAUAAAUAGUUUUGCAAAGCAACAAUAUAAUCAAUCUCUAAACUAGAAGAUAAAUCAAGGAUUUCAUUAACUGCUGGUAGCCAGUUUAAAUUGUAGUCUUGUCCAUAAUGUCUAUCUAUCUAUGUAUGUCCAAGUUAUAUUAAAAACCUUUAAAUGGCUUUGUAAUAUCAGCUACAUCUAGCUAUUAUAAUAAUUAAUGAUACUGUUUUAUAAAUCAAUAUAUGUAUUCUUGAUAAAUUCAUAUCCAGUUAAUGGUGUAAUUUAAAUAAAAAAUUAAUGUAAUAAAGGACAUACUGGAAUAGGCAGGAAAUCUUUAAAGGUUAAGAGGCAAAUUUGUCUAAAUUCUUUUCUUUGUACCUAUUUUUGAGAAAGCGUCCAUUGAAA